GUUAGAUUUGUAGUAUUUUUGUGAAGAAUAAGGUACACAUAAAUAAUAUUUUGAGUUCUGAUGAUAUGUAUGGGCAGUCUUCAUCUAGUUUUGGUACAGACCAAUUACAAAGUCAAUUAAUUGAUUUAGACAUGGAAAUUAAUGAUAGCAUUUAUAACAUACCUUAUUAACUAUCCCACUGAAGAUGAUUUGCUUAAACUUAAAAAUCAAUUAACAAAAUGGAACUUACUAUGUGUAUACCAGACGUGUAUUGACCAACUAAUUGAUCUCAAGAUUAUGGCACUUAUGAGAUUAGAACAUGUAUAUAAAUUAUUAGAAAAAUUUCCUUUGGGGAUUAUAAUAUUAUUUGAAUCUGAACUAAUAAAAUGGCAAAAAAAUAUAAGCAUUAAUGACACCGUUGUUAAAAGUAAUGUAUCUAAUGAAAUAGUACAUGCUCCAGUUUGUGUUGAAAAUACUUAUUAUUAUAAGAAACUUAAUAAACUAUUAAUGAUGGAAUAAGAUCAACAUUAGUAGACUUAAUUAUCAGCUAUAUGGUAACAAAACAUUUAUCAAUGUCAAUUGGCUUUGAAAAGUCUAUGGCCAAUCAAAUAGUAGCCAUGUUCAAAACAGAAAUUAAGAAAUCCUAAAGAAAAAUUAUACACCAAGUACUUCAAUUCUGUGAGGAGUUCAAAAACAAAUGGGUUAAUAGAAAGUGCACCAACAGUUAUAACUGUUUACUAUAGUAAACCUAACAACAAUGAUAAUUCAAAAGAUUGUACAGUUGACGGACGUGGUUGGACACAAAAAGAGUUUGAUUUAGAAAAGAACUGGAAGGCUACAAUUAAUUACAGACUUAAUUAUAUUAAAAAUUCUUCAUACACUAAUGAUGUAUUGAAAAUGUGGAAGCAAUAUUUAGUACUAUAUGGACAUAAACUAGCAGUUCCCUUAGACUGGUUAGACUAUCCCUCACUUAGAUACUCUUCUAUAAUAUGGUGUGGUAUCAUAGACCGCUGCAAUUUCUUUUUUGUUUAGGUGAUAACUGUGUGGUGUAGUCUAUGAAUAAAAGCACUAAAUAAUUGACAUAGACUAUAAUGAGUAUAAUGCAUUAUUUCCCAAUUGUGCCAAUAUUUAUGAUGAGUUUAAUUUAAAAAUUGAUAAGGUGCUUACAAUUAUGGAUGUAAAAAUAAAAGAUAU